AUCCGGGUUGCGGACAGUGUCUGGUGGGUAGUUUGACUGGGGCGGUCUCCUCCCAAAGAGUAACGGAGGAGCACGAAGGUUAGCUAAUCCUGGUCGGACAUCAGGAGGUUAGUGCAAUGGCAUAAGCUAGCUUGACUGCGAGAGUGACGGCUCGAGCAGGUGCGAAAGCAGGUCAUAGUGAUCCGGUGGUUCUGAAUGGAAGGGCCAUCGCUCAACGGAUAAAAGGUACUCCGGGGAUAACAGGCUGAUACCGCCCAAGAGUUCAUAUCGACGGCGGUGUUUGGCACCUCGAUGUCGGCUCAUCACAUCCUGGGGCUGAAGUAGGUCCCAAGGGUAUGGCUGUUCGCCAUUUAAAGUGGUACGCGAGCUGGGUUUAGAACGUCGUGAGACAGUUCGGUCCCUAUCUGCCGUGGGCGCUGGAGAAUUGAGGGGGGCUGCUCCUAGUACGAGAGGACCGGAGUGGACGCAUCACUGGUGUUCGGGUUGUCAUGCCAAUGGCACUGCCCGGUAGCUAAAUGCGGAAGAGAUAAGUGCUGAAAGCAUCUAAGCACGAAACUUGCCCCGAGAUGAGUUCUCCCUGAGACUUUAAGUCUCCUGAAGGAACGUUGAAGACGACGACGUUGAUAGGCCGGGUGUGUAAGCGCAGCGAUGCGUUGAGCUAACCGGUACUAAUGAACCGUGAGGCUUAACCUU
rnacentral:rRNA from 3 species